GCCAGAGAGGGUGAGAGCCCCGUAAGCGAAAUCCAAAGAAGGCCUAUCAGUAUCCUGAGUAGGGCGGGACACGUGAAAUCCCGUUUGAAUCCGCGAGGACCAUCUCGCAAGGCUAAAUACUAACCAGUGACCGAUAGUGAACCAGUACCGUGAGGGAAAGGUGAAAAGAACCCCGGGAGGGGAGUGAAAGAGAACCUGAAACCGUGUGCCUACAAGUAGUCAGAGCCCGUUAACGGGUAAUGGCGUGCCUUUUGUAGAAUGAACCGGCGAGUUGCGUUAGUCAGCAAGGUUAAGUCAGAAAAGACGGAGCCGCAGCGAAAGCGAGUCUGAAGAGGGCGAGCAGUUGGCUGACGCAGACCCGAAACCAAGUGACCUACCCAUGACCAGGUUGAAGGCGCGGUAAAACGCGCUGGAGGACCGAACCCACGUAAGUUGAAAAUUGCGGGGAUGAGUUGUGGGUAGCGGUGAAAUUCCAAACGAACUUGGAGAUAGCUGGUUCUCUCCGAAAUAGCUUUAGGGCUAGCCUCGCAAAGAGGAUGCUGGAGGUAGAGCUCUGUUUGGACUAGGGGCCCGUCAAGGGUUACUGAAUUCAGAUAAACUACGAAUUCCAGACAUUUAUGUGCGGGAGUCAGACUGCGAGUGAUAAGAUCCGUAGUCGAAAGGGAAACAGCCCAGAUCACCAGUUAAGGUCCCAAAAUUCAUGCUAAGUGGAAAAGGAUGUGGAGUUGCGCAGACAACUAGGACGUUGGCUCAGAAGCAGCCAUCAUUCAAAGAGUGCGUAAUAGCUCACUAGUCGAGUGACGCCGCGCCGAAAAUUUACCGGGGCUAAGCAUGAUACCGAAACUGUGGAUGUGCAUUUAUGCACGUGGUAGGAGAGCGUUCUAGCGGCGGUGAAGCAUGACCGAGAGGACAUGUGGAGCUUCUAGAAGUGAGAAUGCCGGUAUGAGUAACGAAAGACAGGUGAGAAUCCUGUCCGCCGCAAGACUAAGGUUUCCUGGGGCAGGCUCGUCCGCCCAGGGUAAGUCGGGACCUAAGGCGAGGCCGAGAGGCGUAGUCGAUGGACAACAGGUUGAAAUUCCUGUACUGCACCGAAUCGUUAUGAGCGAUGGAGGGACGCAGGAGGCUAGCAGCGCGUGGUGCUGGAUACCACGUUCAAGCGUCAAGUCUGAGAGCGAGUCAAAUGCUUGCUUUCAUAAAGGACAAGGCGUGAUGAGGAGCGAAAUUAAAGUAGCGAAGGCUGCGACGUCACACUGCCGAGAAAAGCUUCUAGCCAGAAACGGUGCACCCGUACCGCAAACCGACACAGGUAGUCGAGGAGAGUAUCCUCAGGUGAGCGAGAGAACUCUCGUUAAGGAACUCGGCAAAAUGGCCCCGUAACUUCGGGAGAAGGGGCGCUGGUCGCAAGAUCAGCCGCAGUGAAAAGGCCCAAGCAACUGUUUAUCAAAAACACAGGCAUCUGCAAAAUCGUAAGAUGAAGUAUAGGUGCUGACACCUGCCCGGUGCUGGAAGGUUAAGAGGAGAGCUUAGCGCAAGCGAAGGUUUGAAUUGAAGCCCCAGUAAACGGCGGCCGUAACUAUAACGGUCCUAAGGUAGCGAAAUUCCUUGUCGGGUAAGUUCCGACCUGCACGAAAGGUGUAAUGAUUUGGGCACUGUCUCAACGAGAGACUCGGUGAAAUUAUAAUACCCGUGAAGAUGCGGGUUACCCGCGACAGGACGGAAAGACCCCAUGGAGCUUUACUGCAGUUUAAUAUUGGGUAUCUGUCAAGCAUGUACAGGAUAGGUAGGAGCCGGAGAAGAUAGGACGCCAGUCUUAUCUGAGGCGCUGGUGGGAUACUACCCUUGCUUGACGGAUGCUCUAACUCAGGCCUGUGAUCCAGGCCGAGGACAGUGUUUGACGGGCAGUUUGACUGGGGCGGUCGCCUCCUAAAGUGUAACGGAGGCGCCCAAAGGUUCCCUCAGAAUGGUUGGAAAUCAUUCGCAGAGUGUAAAGGCAAAAGGGAGCUUGACUGCGAGAGAGACAACUCGAGCAGGUACGAAAGUAGGGCUUAGUGAUCUGGUGGUACCGCAUGGAAGGGCCAUCACUCAACGGAUAAAAGCUACCCUGGGGAUAACAGGCUUAUCUCCCCCAAGAGUUCACAUCGACGGGGAGGUUUGGCACCUCGAUGUCGGCUCGUCGCAUCCUGGGGCUGAAGUCGGUCCCAAGGGUUGGGCUGUUCGCCCAUUAAAGCGGCACGCGAGCUGGGUUCAGAACGUCGUGAGACAGUUCGGUCCCUAUCCGUCGUGGGCGCAGGAAAUUUGAGAGGAGCUGUCCUUAGUACGAGAGGACCGGGAUGGACGCACCGCUGGUGUACCAGUUGUCUUGCCAAAGGCAUCGCUGGGUAGCUAUGUGCGGACGGGAUAAGCGCUGAAAGCAUCUAAGUGCGAAGCCCCCCUCAAGAUGAGAUUUCCCAUUUCUUCAAGAAAGUAAGACACCUCAGAGACGAUGAGGUAGAUAGGCCGGGAGUGGAAGAGCCGUGAGGCUUGGAGCGGACCGGUACUAAUCAGUCGAGGACUUGACCAAA
rnacentral:rRNA from 1 species